rnacentral:rRNA from 1 species
AUUGAACGCUGGCGGCAGGCCUAACACAUGCAAGUCGGGCGGAUGACGGGAGCUUGCUUCUGGAUUCAGCGGCGGACGGGUGCGUAAUGCCUAUGAAUCUUCCUGGUAUCAGGGGAUAAGGUCCGGAAACGGGCGCUUAUACCGCCUAAGAAUUGCAGCAGAACAUGGUGGAUCUUCGAACUAUACGUUAUCAGAUGAUCCUAGGUCGGAGUAGUUAGUUGGUGGGGUAAUGACCUACCAACGCGACGAUCCGGAACUGGUGUGAGAUGAUGAUCAGUCACACUAGAACUGAGACACGGUCCAGACUACUACGGGACGGAGCAGUGGAGAAUAUUGGACAAGGGACGGGAGCCUGACCCAGCCAUGCCGCGUGUGGGGAGGAAGUCUUCGGAUUGUAAAGCACUUUUAGUUGGGAGGGAGGGCAGUAAGUUAAUACCUUACUGUUUUGACGUUACUGACAGAAUAAGCACCGGCUAACUUCGUG